CAAUAUUUAACACAGAUUAUCACUAAAUAUUUUAAACAAUUUUCAAUUGAUCCGUAAGUUUUUAAAACUUUUAUUUUAAUCAAAAAUUUUCCACCACGUUUUCUUUAUUUUCUUCUCUGACGUAGUCGUGCGUGCGUGUUGACACCAAGAGACUUAAUGCACUAGUGAUGCAGUCACGGGAGACAAAACUACAUUCUACCAUGGAACGUUCACGGAAACCGCAUAGAAGACCAAAAAUAAAAUAUCUACAUUAGAGUAGUAGUGUUGUAGCCAAGUAUGUGAAGCAAUAGGGGUGAUAGUAUUGCCAGAUGAGAGUGAGUGGAUAAACAACUGGAGUUCAGAUAAAUGUUCAGAGCUACGGUGGGUUUAGAGCCGAAAUGCUUAGAUUUUUAAACUAUUUUUGUCAGAAAAGCUUACCUAUAUGUUUUAUGAAAAUCCACUAAGUUUGCACCAGAAGAAGCGUUUUCGUCAGAGCCGUCGCAAGAAAACCAUGGCCGAAAAGAAGAUGGGAUGUGACCCUUCGAAGCCAUCUAUUGUUGGAGAAAAAAGUUGUCGAAAAGAACCGAGAUGCCCUGAAAACUCCGAACCCAGGUGGAAUUAUCCCCAACCUUCCUCUUUCUCAUGCACAGGUUACAGAUCUCAAAACGAAUAAACCAGGCAAUCUUGCUAUGUCUAUAUCAAUUCUUAAUAGACAAAAGUCAUGUUUGACAGUAAGCUACUGGAAAAGCUGUAAGAUUUACUAAACUUUUUAUGCUCUUACGAGAACAAUUUUUCUUAUAAACGUUCAAAAAUACAUCUGGCAACGUUAAAUGGCCUGCCGCUUGAUCAACCCAACAUAAAUGCAAUAAAAUACAUUGGAAUGCAGCUAAACCACU